CGGAAGGGAAAGGCCUGUGGUUCCAAAAACCCUGGGGUUCAAUUUUAAGAAGGAGAGGUUAAAAGUUGGUUAACCAGGGUUUCCGUAGGCGGACCUGGGGGAGGAUUAAUACUGAAUUGGCUUAAUGGACCAAAAGGGUUUUUUUUUGGAAACCAAACUUGGCUUUGGGCGGGGGGGGCCCCGGCCUGGCCGGCCAGGAGGGUUUUUAAACCUUAACCAACCCAAAUUUUUUAUUCCAACUUGUUCAACAACCCGAAUAAUAACUUAAUAGUCAAAACUUUCAACAACGGAUCUCUUGGUUCUCGCAUCGAUGAAGAACGCAGCGAAAUGCGAUACGUAAUAUGAAUUGCAGAUAUUCGUGAAUCAUCGAAUCUUUGAACGCACAUUGCGCCCUCUGGUAUUCCGGAGGGCAUGCCUGUUUGAGCGUCGUUUCUCCCUCAAACCGCUGGGUUUGGUGUUGAGCAAUACGACUUGGGUUUGCUUGAAAGACGGUAGUGGUAAGGCGGGAUCGCUUUGACAAUGGCUUAGGUCUAACCAAAAACAUUGCUUGCGGCGGCUAACGUCUACCACGCUAUAUC
rnacentral:misc_RNA from 1 species